AAACAAAACAAAACGCAAGCUAAACAUGAGGACAGACAAUUCGUGGUUAGUCGUGCACCCAGCUACCCUCUGUCAUGUUAGGUGCUUGCCUUCUAAAUCUGGCAGCCAGCAUGCCAGGGGCCUUUUACUAAUUUGGGCACAGCCAACAGUGGCUUGGCAUCACUAAGGCAGGUGGCCAUCAACUGCAGGCAUCAUCCUCCUUUGAGUGCAUUGUCCAGCGUUACAUUUUAGGCAGAGGAGAGAACAACGUGCAUCCAGGGCAACAUUCGUCUGACCUAUUUAAGUGUCUACCUUCAGAGGAGAGGAGUGGUGCCCCAGAAGUGUCUGUUCCUCUCUGCUGAGAGCAGAUGAAGUCUAGACAACUCACUCUGAUGUAGAUUUGAUGCUGCAAUGUUUUGCUGAGGGGAAUCCUGACUGUCUCGCAUGCUGGUGUGUGCAGUAGCAGUGCCCACAGAGGGGGUUGCUGACUGAGGACACUGUCUUCCUGACUGUAUUGCUGUGUAGCAUCUGGGAUAAAGCCCAGCAUCAAGCACCUGUACCUGUUUCUGGGAACCUGAGCGGUAGUUUCAGGACACUGUUGACUACAAGACACACUAAGUUGAUUGACCAUCAUCCCAUUUCCUUGUCCAUUACUGGGGCUUAUUGCCUGUCUUCAGGACCUAUCUCUCCCUCCUGAGUAAAAUAAUGCAGAGGUGUGGAGGACCUUCAAGCUUUCAGUGUAUAAUGUGGGUAUUUGCAGAAGAAGAGAUAAGACUUUCCUUCCCCAGACAAAAACGGCCACUGGAAAACCAGGAAGAAUCUUCACUGGAAAUGCACCAAUGAGGAAAGAAGCCUAUGAGGCCAGCAACCUCACUUACCAAUGAAAAACUCAUUCCUGGCUCACAUUUUCCAUUGAAUUAUUCCUGCGUUUUUCCACUAAAUAUAAAUAUCCAUUAGAAACAUGGCAACGUGAUUGAAUUUCCAUUACAUAACUAGCAAGACCAGCUCUCACAUCAGCUCUUGCAUCAGUUUCAAAUCCUUGGAGCCAACAAGGAAGGAGAGAAGGACUGUUUACCUCACUGAUGGGGAGACAUGGGCAGCAGUGCUGGGCUGAGAGCCAUCUGCCAUCACAUCCCUCCCAGAAUUGAGCAACUCAGUUAAUCUCUCUGCUCUCCAAUCUCCUCUUCGGUACCAUGAGAUAAUGAUGAUGCAUCACAGGACUGCAGGAGACUGAAUGAGUGCCCCAAGUUCCUCUUGCUGGAAUGGAAGUCCCAGCAGAUGCAUUGCUCCCUCCAGCUGUGAGCACAGCUCUGGAUGUUUCCAUUGUUCUCUGUCACAGGGGCCAGCCUGGUUUUCAGCUCCUCUGACUGCAUCCCAUGAGGUGAAUGUUGCCUGUAAAGAUGCUGGAGAAGGGCAGAGAUGGGUAGUCCUGGCCUAUCGAGCCAUCAGAAGCAGAUUGCCACAGUUGUCCCCCGAGAAUAGUGUUUUCUUGGCAUCCUGGCAUAUUCUCUUCAGGAGGCACUCAUUCUGUCCCUUCUAACUCCCAUUUUGAAUCAACCAAGAGCUGUGUUUCCAAGCUGGUGUUUGAAAUUGCUCUGCAAAGACAAACCAGCCUUUUGCAUGUCGUGUCGCUGGGGAAGCUACAGGCCGCAGCCCAUUGGAAGACAUGAGCUAAUGGACCAGGACCAUCCUGUGAGUAUAGAGCAGAGACAAGACCUUCCAUGGACCUUGCCAGGCUGUCCCUCAUAGCCUUCUCAACAUCCAUGUGCUUCUUUCAUCUAAUUGGAGGUGUCUGGGAUGAGGCAGAGUGACCGUGACUCAAACACAUUCAAUAAGGCUCCCGCUGUGUGUUUUCUCUUCUUUCCUGUAUACUGCCUAUCAGACAAGUCCUUUCUAACAACAGAAAGGAGGAAAGACAUUUUAUCAGCAGCCCGAGUUUAAUUUCAGCUCAUUAAAGCAAGCAAUUUGCUGGUUUAUUUGCUUUGCAAAGUGUGAAUAAAAUGACGGCAUUAAGGAGAUGUAAGAGGGGCUAAUCUCCCUUUUUAUUAGAUUGCUGGGACAAGACUGGGGAGUGGAGAAGUGGUCUUGUUGCUUUGCACAGAGGAGAUAAUUGUUCAUAUUGUGGGUUUCUGAGACAACUCUUUCCCAGCAUCGUGGGUGUGUGUGGGUGUGCACCUGCGUGAGUGCAACGUCAGCCAGAUGUGAGCAUCCCACGAGGCAGGAUGGAUGGGAGUGGGGGUUCCCAGCUCGUAUCCCCCUACCAGCAGGGGAGAGGGGGAGAGGCCCCCCUGUAUCUUCUCCACAGACUGGAGAAAAAUCAUAACAGAAAGCUGAGGUUUUAGGCUCUCUUGCCUGCUUGAUUUGUCUUUGCCCAGCUGUUCUGGCUUUGUUCUCCUGGUAGCCCAAUGACACACCAUUUAUCCCAGUCCUCAGACCAUCCACGGAGCUGCCUGGGAAAAGCUGGAGACAAACUUAGGACUUUGAAGUGAAAAAAAACAACAGGAAAGUAGAGAUUUGGGAGGUUCAUCUUUACUGAUUAUGAAAGAAGGAAAAGAGAGGAAUGUAGCUGGUAUAGAACAUCAGGAGUAGAUUUGCAACAACUAAAUAUAUGCUGGAGAGAUGCUGUGUCCUGGCCCCAUGCUGCACUGACCACAGUACGUACCCACUGGAAUGCCCUGCAGUAUUCAAGAGUCACCUGUGCACUGCAGACACUGCUGUGCUUUUCCUUUUGCUUUCACAGGGCAGCACUGUGGCCCUGGCCAGCCGAGAUGAUGUCAGGCUUACAUGGCCAGCAUGUGGGCAGUGAGAACUUCUUUGCUCCUAGCUGCUCCUCUCACAUCUCCUCUGAUCUGCAGUACCUGUACCGGAGCCCAGAUCUGUGCUUUGCCUUGCUGACCCCCAACUCUGCCCCAUGAUGCUCUCCUGCACUACUCUCCCGUGUUUCUCCAACUCAGCAGCAUAAGUUUGUGAUGUCCGUGAAGCUGCAGCCUGCACAGGAUGAAUAGCAACAACCCAAUCCUGGCUGCAAAAACACAGCAAAGGAAGGAAAAAAGCAAAGCUGUGAUUCCAAAAACCAGUGCAGACUGGCUGGGCCUCAUGCCAAAACCGUGGGUCUCUGGGCAGUGCCCAGCCCAGCAGCAGCUUCCAGGCAGACAGUGCUGCUGAGUAUUGACAGAUGGACAAGAAAACGUGCUGCACACACAGGACUUCAUGCUGACAGCCUGUUCUAAUCCCCUGUGCAGCCCUUGGAGUUACUGUGCCAUCCUUUUGACGCAUCAUGAGCAGACAUGCAAUGGACUCAGUCCCAGGGAUGCCCCAUGCCAGCGCUCAGCAGGUCAUGUUUACUGCUGGUGAUGUGGGGAUGGCUCCUUCCCACCUGCUGAAGACACUCUGCUGUCCCUUCGGAGCAGUUUCUUGUGGCUCAGCUGCCCUGAGUGAUCCUGUGAGCUUUGCUACAAGCUCUGGAGUUUGUCAUGAAUGUUUGCUGCACUGUGCAAGGCUGGGCAUGGCUGCACCCAGCUCCAGGGCUCUUCUCCACCUUCCUACAUGACACUUGACAUCAAGCAGUGAGUGAUGCUGGCAGCGUGCCUCUGAGAUGGACCAUGCCUCACACCUCAGUGCCCCAGAUCCCCAGUCCUCAAUGCCUAGAGCAACUCUUCUUGAUGCCCUUGAUCACCGCCCUCUUCUCCUCCAUGCCCUCUAUCUCUGCUUCUUACUUACCUACAUCUCGGCUACUUGAUUACCAACAUCUCUGUUUCUCCUCAUCCUGGCUCUCUGUUCCUUGAUGAUCUAGAUCUCUGCUCUUUGAUGCCCUAGAUUUACACUUAUCAGUGCCCUAGAUCUCUGCCUGCUGCAAAGACUGCUCCUCUCCCAGCAGACGAUUCCUGCACUACUUCCACCAAUUUGAGAGUAACUGAAUGCUUUCACCCCUGGGUCUUGGUGUGUGUUCGUCCUGCCCGUUACAGCAAGGUAAGCAUCUAUUCCUCCAUUGUGUAUAUUUAACCCAUGGUGCCCACAAGCAAAAACUGUAUCUCUCAGCAGCAUUGUGAGUUUAGGGUGCACAGCCCCAGAUAAUGGGGAUGGGGAGCAGGGAGCUGGCUGAGCAUUGUGAGCCAGCAUGGUGAUGGUCCUUCUGCCCCCAGUCACCUUGGGCUUGCCUCUGACAGCUCAUUACAGCUAGUCUUUGAUCACUUGCCUCUCCCCCUCUCUGUACUUGGAAAUGCUGGAGAGCUUUCGUGACUGAUAUUAUCAAAAAAGACGUUUUUAUUUCCAAAAUAUACAGUGUAAUUAGAACUGCAAAGGAAGAGAGCAGCCAGUCCAUAAAAACACCCGCUCUGCGACAGUCUCUGUCCUGACCCUGUGAGAACUGGGAACAAAAGACUGCUGGGUUUUGGGGAGAACAGCUUCCCAAAUAAUGGGAGCACCUCUCAGGUCCCAGCCAAAAAGAGCUCUUCCACUGCAUGGGAAGGCUUUGCUGUGUAAAUGCUCUCACUCACAGCUGAACAUGUUUUGCUGAAUUGGGACCCAGUGGAAGCAUGGAUUGAAUAGCUUCAACCAGCAACACAGAGGCCCUCACCUAACCCAUCAGCGUGCAAAUAUGCCUUCUGAUGGAGUGAUUGAAGGCUCCGCUGCCACAGACAGCAUUGCUAGCGUAUUUUCAGCUUUGCAGGGCCUUCUCCCACAGGCAGCUCCAUCCUAUAGGUGGGAGGGCAGCGCUUCCCCUCUGCCAGCUGCUGGCCAUGGGCAGAGGCUGCCUCACAGAGACCCAGCUCCCGUCCUUCCCAUCUCUACAGCUGCCCCAGGAAACAGCUGACUUCUUAAAAAUUGAUGGGGUUCAUUUCCUGCCUGCGUGCACUUAAAGCAUCAGCUCUGCCACUACCAGCAAUGUCCACAUUAAUUCCUAUCAUAGCGCAAGUACCUUUGUGUGCGCUGCCUUGCCUGGAGAGUCUGUCCCAGCAGUGACCUGUGUUUUGCUCCCCUCGAGACCUUGCCCAUGGCUGAGGUUUCCAGAGCUGCUGCAUGCACAGCAGCAAAGCUGGGAUAGCCCCAGAGGAGGAGAGGCAGCAGGAAGGGUCUGCGCACAGAUCCUCUCUGAUCCAGGCUCAGAGGUUCACCUGGUACGUGGGGUUCUCCUUCCCUCCUCCCUGUGUCCUAUUGAGCAGCAACAUCCCAAGACUGUGUGGAAUCCCCACACUGAGUGCCCUCAGCUCUGAGCCCCAGGGUACAACCUUCAGCAUUCCACCACUGAGUCCCUCCAAACAGAAAUUUUCAGUUUCCAAGGGAAAACAAAAUCUGGUCAUGGAAAAACACCCAGCUCGCUCAAACAGAGCUGCUGGGGUUGGGGCCAGGCCACGCUGGUCUGCUUUUCAGUGCCCCGUGGACUGCAGAAAAUUAUGAAUUCUUUUCUUUCUUUUUUUUUUUUUU